CGGGUGAGUAACGCGUGAGCAACCUGCCUUUUACAGGGGGAUAACGUGCCGAAAGGCACACUAAUACCGCAUGAGACCACAAGCAUACAUAUGGAAGGGGUCAAAGGAGAAAUCCGGUAAGAGAUGGGCUCGCGUCCGAUUAGAUAGUUGGUGAGGUAACGGCUCACCAAGUCAACGAUCGGUAGCCGACCUGAGAGGGUGAUCGGCCACAUUGGAACUGAGAGACGGUCCAAACUCCUACGGGAGGCAGCAGUGGGGAAUAUUGGGCAAUGGGGGAAACCCUGACCCAGCGACGCCGCGUGAAGGAAGAAGGUCUUCGGAUUGUAAACUUCUGUUCUUGGUGAAGAGGAAAGACGUGCCAGANAGCC
rnacentral:rRNA from 1 species